UACGUAGGGUGCAAGCGUUGUCCGGAAUUAUUGGGCGUAAAGAGCUCGUAGGCGGUUUGUCGCGUCUGCUGUGAAAACCCGAGGCUCAACCUCGGGCCUGCAGUGGGGUACGGGCAGACUAGAGUGGCGGUAGGGGAGAUUGGAAUUCCUGGUGUAGCGGUGGAAUGCGCAGAUAUCAGGAGGAACACCGAUGGCGAAGGCAGAUCUCUGGGCCGUAACUGACGCUGAGGAGCGAAAGCAUGGGGAGCGAACAGG
rnacentral:rRNA from 1 species